rnacentral:rRNA from 1 species
GAUGAACGCUGGCGGCGUGCCUAAUACAUGCAAGUCGAGCGAACAGACGAGGAGCUUGCUCCUCUGACGUUAGCGGCGGACGGGUGAGUAACACGUGGAUAACCUACCUAUAAGACUGGGAUAACUUCGGGAAACCGGAGCUAAACCGGGAUAAUAUCUUGAACCGAAGGGUUCAUUGGGAAAGAACGGUUUUGCGGUAUCUACUGGCGGGUCCGCGCCGCAUUAGCUAGUUGGUAAGGUAACGGCUUACCAAGGGAAAGAUGCGUAGCCGACCUGAGAGGGUGAUCGGCCACACUGGAACUGAGACACGGUCCAGACUCCUACGGGAGGCAGCAGUAGGGAAUCUUCCGCAAUGGGCGAAAGCCUGACGGAGCAACGCCGCGUGAGUGAUGAAGGUCUUCGGAUCGUAAAACUCUGUUAUUAGGGAAGAACAAAUGUGUAAGUAACUAUGCACGUCUUGACGGUACCUAAUCAGAAAGCCACGGCUAACUACGUG